UACAGAGGUCCCAAGCGUUGUUCGGAUUCACUGGGCGUAAAGGGUGCGUAGGUGGCCAGGUAAGUUUGGUGUGAAAGCUCGGAGCUUAACUCCGAAAAGUCAUUGAAUACUCUCUGGCUAGAGGGUCGGAGGGGAGACUGGAAUUCUCGGUGUAGCAGUGAAAUGCGUAGAUAUCGAGAGGAACACCAGUGGCGAAGGCGAGUCUCUGGACGACUCCUGACACUGAGGCACGAAAGCCAGGGGAGCAAACAGG
rnacentral:rRNA from 1 species